GGAGAUCUCCAUGAUAUAAAUCAUCGAUGUGCAUCUGUUGUGCAAAGAAAUUUCCUCAAAAUAUGCACAUCUUCGGGGGGAGUCUCUCGGUAUCUUGAUUUCAAAUUCCUCAAACUCAGUACUUACAUUUCAUAUUCUUAUCCCCGUUGAAAACUUAACCUAAUUAUCAUCAAGCACCAAAAAGGGGGGAGAUUGUAAGUGCAUCUAGUGCCCUUAAUGAUUUUGGUUGUUUGAAGACUUAUAGGUUAAGAGACUAAUGUGUUUGUAAGUGUACACAGGCUCUAU
rnacentral:lncRNA from 1 species